GGAAUAUUUUCCGUCGAUUUGGCGGAAGUAGGUUUUUAUCUGUCACUGCGUGCGUGGAACCUAGGGACGAAAAUCUUCCUCUCUGCACGACCAGAAUGGGCUGUCCUGUAACCUGACUGCCAUCUGCCCAGUGGAGAGUGACCAGACUGUGCCACCAAUGCCUGAUGAAGAAGCCUCUGAAGAUCAAGUGCUGGCAGCAGUUGAGACCAGCCCCUCUCAACAGGAAGAGGAGAUUUUGAACAGUGAGUUGGA